rnacentral:rRNA from 1 species
GGUUUGAUCAUGGCUCAGAUUGAACGCUGCGAUGCUUUACACAUGCAAGUCGAACGGCAGCACUGGACUUCGGUCUGGUGGCGAGUGGCGAACGGGUGAGUAAUGUAUCGGAACGCCUUAGUAGCGGGGGAUAACUACGCGAAAGCGUAGCUAAUACCGCAUACCGCCCUUCGGGGAAAGCGGGGACCUUCGGGCCUCGCACCUGAUGAGAGCGGCCGAUAUCGGAUUAGCUAGUUGGUGGGGUAACGGCUCACCGGAAGGCGACGACAUCCAGCUGGUUUGAGAGGAUGACCAGCCACACUGGGACUGAGACACGGCCCAGACUCCUACGGAGGCAGCAGGGGAAUUUUGGACAAUGGGAAACCCUGAUCCAGCCAUCUCAUGCGUGAUGAAGGCCUUCGGGUUGUAAAGCACUUGGCAGGAAAGGAAACGGCACGGAUAAUACCCUGUGCAACUGACGGUACUCUGCAGAAUAAGGCCAACUACGUGCCAGCAGCCGCGGUAAUACGUAGGGGGCGUAAGCGUUAAUCGGAAUUACUGGGCGUAAGCGUGCGCAGGCGGUUCGGAAAAGAUGUGCAGGAAAUCCCAGAGCUUAAUCCUUUAACCGCAUUUUUAACUACCGAGCUAGAGUGUGUCAGAGGGAGGAAUUCGCGUGUAGCAGGAAAUGCGUAGAUAUGCGGAGGAACACCGAUGGCGAAGGCAGCCUCCUGGGAUAUCACCGACGCUCAUGCACGAAAGCGUGGGGAGCAAACAGGAUUAGGAUACCUGGUGUCCACGCCCUAAACGAUGUCAACUAGCCGUUGGGGCCUUCGGGCCUUGCAGCAGCUAACGCGCGUAGUUGGACCGCCUGUGGGGAGUAUACGGUCGCAAGAUUAAAACUCAAAGGAAUUGACGGGACCCGCACAAGCGGUGGAUGAUGUGGAUUAAUUCGAUGCAACGCGAAAAACCUUACCUACCCUUGACAUGUUCAACCUGAAGAGAUUUGGGAGUUUCAGAAGAGAACCGGAACACAGGUAAGUGCUGCAUGGCUGUCGUCAGCUCGUGUCGUGAGAUGUUGGGUUAAGUCCUGCAACGAGCGCAACCCUUGUCAUUAUUGCUACGAAAGGCACUCCCGACGAGACUGCCGGUGACAAACCGGAGGAAGGUGGGGAUGACGUCAAGUCCUCAUGGCCCUUGCGGUAGGGCUUCACACGUCAUACAAUGGUCGGGACAGAGGGUCGCCAACCUGCGAGGGGGAGCCAAUCCCAGAACCCGACUGUAGUCCGGAUCGCAGUCUGCAACUCGACUGCGUGAAGUCGGAAUCGCCAGUAAUCGCGGAUCAGCAUGUCGCGGUGAAUACGUUCCCGGGUCUUGCGCCACACCGCCCGUCACACCAUGGGAGUGGGUUUUACCAGAAGUAGUUAGCCUAACCGUAAGGAGUGGCGAUUACCACGGGGAGGAUCUUAUGACUGGGGUGAAGUCGUAACAAGGUAG